rnacentral:rRNA from 1 species
UACGGAGGAGGCAAGCGUUAUCCGGAAUUAUUGGGCCUAAAGCAUCCGUAGCCGGUUCUGCAAGUCCCCCGUUAAAUCCAGCUGCUCAACAGAUGGGCCGCGGAGGAUACUACAGAGCUAGGAGGCAGGAGAGGCAAGCGGUACUCAGUGGGUAGGGGUAAAAUCCGUUGAUCCAUUGAAGACCACCAGUGGCGAAGGCGGCUUGCCAGAAUGCGCUCGACGGUGAGGGAUGAAAGCUGGGGGAGCAAACCGG